rnacentral:rRNA from 1 species
ACCGAGUGCUAGCAUCAUAUGCUGGCUGUCCAGGUGUGUAAAAUACACCUGUUAGCAAGGGCCGGGCAAGACCGGUGCCAGCCGCCGCGGUAACACCGGCGGCCCGAGUGGUGAUCGUGAUUAUUGGGUCUAAAGGGUCCGUAGCCGGUUUGGUCAGUCCUCCGGGAAAUCUGAUAGCUYAACUAUUAGGCUUUCGGGGGAUACUGCCAGGCUUGGAACCGGGAGAGGUAAGAGGUACUACAGGGGUAGGAGUGAAAUCUUGUAAUCCCUGUGRGACCACCUGUGGCGAAGGCGUCUUACCAGAACGGGUUCGACGGUGAGGGACGAAAGCUGGGGGCACGAACCGGAUUAKAUACCCGGGUAGUCCCAGCCGUAAACGAUGCUCGCUAGGUGUCAGGCAUGGCGCGACCGUGUCUGGUGCCGCAGGGAAGCCGUGAAGCGAGCCACCUGGRAAGUACGGCCGCAAGGCUGAAACUUA